AGUCGAGCGGAUGACGGGAGCUUGCUCCUUGAUUCAGCGGCGGACGGGUGAAGUAAUGCCUAGGAAUCUGCCUGGUAGUGGGGGACAACGUUUCGAAAGGAACGCUAAUACCGCAUACGUCCUACGGGAGAAAGCAGGGGACCUUCGGGCCUUGCGCUAUCAGAUGAGCCUAGGUCGGAUUAGCUAGUUGGUGGGGUAAUGGCUCACCAAGGCGACGAUCCGUAACUGGUCUGAGAGGAUGAUCAGUCACACUGGAACUGAGACACGGUCCAGACUCCUACGGGAGGCAGCAGUGGGGAAUAUUGGCACAAUGGGCGAAAGCCUGAUCCAGCCAUGCCGCGUGUGUGAAGAAGGUCUUCGGAUUGUAAAGCACUUUAAGUUGGGAGGAAGGGCAGUAAGCUAAUACCUUGCUGUUUUGACGUUACCAACAGAAUAAGCACCGGCUAACUCUGUGCCAGCAGCCGCGGUAAUACAGAGGGUGCAAGCGUUAAUCGGAAUUACUGGGCGUAAAGCGCGCGUAGGUGGUUCGUUAAGUUGGAUGUGAAAGCCCCGGGCUCAACCUGGGAACUGCAUCCAAAACUGGCGAGCUAGAGUACGGUAGAGGGUGGUGGAAUUUCCUGUGUAGCGGUGAAAUGCGUAGAUAUAGGAAGGAACACCAGUGGCGAAGGCGACCACCUGGACUGAUACUGACACUGAGGUGCGAAAGCGUGUGGAGCAAACAGGAUUAGAUACCCUGGUAGUCCACGCCGUAUACGAUGUCAACUAGCCGUUGGAAUCCUUGAGAUUUUAGUGGCGCAGCUAACGCAUUAAGUUGACCGCCUGGUGAGUACGGCCGCAAGGUUAAAACUCAGAUGAA
rnacentral:rRNA from 1 species